rnacentral:lncRNA from 1 species
AGUUUGGCCAGGCCGCCUUUAUCAAAGGCUUCGAGCUUUGCCAGGAGAAGGUGGUCGGGAAGUUUUCUGAACUCGACCUCAGCUUCCUGGAUGAAGCGUCCGACGAUGAAGCCGGACCUUCCGAAGCUGCUGCCAGUCUCCCUCCAGUCAGGACCUCUUCAACUGUCGCAGCUACCGUGACCAACCUUCCAGAGGCACCGAGCUCCUCCACUUCUGCUCCAA